rnacentral:rRNA from 1 species
UAGCGUAUAUUAAAGUUGUUGCAGUUAAAAAGCUCGUAGUCGAAUUUCGGGGCGGGAUGAUCGGUCUGCCGAUGGGUAUGCACUGAUCAGCCCGUCCUUCCUUCUGGAGACCGUCCCUACUCUUAACUGAGCGGGGGCGGGAAACAGAUCGUUUACUUUGAGAAAAUCAGAGUGUUUAAAGCAGGCCAAGAUUGCUCUUGCAUGGAUUAGCAUGGGAUAAUGAAAUAGGACUUUGGUGCUAUUUUGUUGGUUUCGAGUACCGAAGUAAUGAUUAAUAGGGAUAGUCAGGGGCACUUGUAUUCCGUUGAGAGAGGUGAAAUUCUUAGACCAAUGGAAGACAAACUACUGCGAAAGCAUUUG